rnacentral:rRNA from 1 species
UGGGGAAUAUUCCGCAAUGGACGAAAGUCUGACGGAGCAACGCCGCGUGAGUGAUGAAGGUUUUCGGACUGUAAAGCUCUGUUGUUUAGGACGAAAGUGCCUGUUGCGAACAGUUACAGGUAUUGACGGUACUGAACGAGGAAGCCACGGCUAACUACGUGCCAGCAGCCGCGGUAAUACGUAGGUGGCAAGCGUUGUCCGGAAUUAUUGGGCGUAAAGAGCAUGUAGGCGGGAAUCUAAGUCUGUUGUGAAAAUGCGGGGCUCAACCCCGUAUUGCGAUGGAAACUGGGUUUCUUGAGUGCAGGAGAGGAAAGGGGAAUUCCCAGUGUAGCGGUGAAAUGCGUAGAUAUUGGGAGGAACACCAGUGGCGAAGGCGCCUUUCUGGACUGUGUCUGACGCU